rnacentral:rRNA from 1 species
UACGUAGGGUGCGAGCGUUAAUCGGAAUUACUGGGCGUAAAGCGUGCGCAGGCGGUUUUGUAAGCCAGAUGUGAAAUCCCCGGGCUUAACCUGGGAAUGGCAUUUGGGACUGCAAGGCUGGAGUGUGGCAGAGGAGACUGGAAUUCCUGGUGUGGCAGUGAAAUGCGUAGAUAUCAGGAGGAAUACCGAUGGCGAAGGCAGGUCUCUGGGCUGACACUGACGCUCAUGCACGAAAGCGUGGGGAGCAAACAGG